rnacentral:rRNA from 1 species
GACGUAGGGCGCGAGCGUUGUCCGGAUUUAUUGGGCGUAAAGAGCGUGUAGGCGGCUUGACAGGUCUGCUGUGAAAACUCGAGGCUCAACCUCGAGAUGUCGGCGGAAACCGUCUGGCUAGAGUCCGGAAGAGGAGAGUGGAAUUCCUGGUGUAGCGGUGAAAUGCGCAGAUAUCAGGAAGAACACCUAUGGCGAAGGCAGCUCUCUGGGACGGUACUGACGCUGAGGCGCGAAAGCGUGGGGAGCAAACAGG